rnacentral:pre_miRNA from 1 species
GGAGGGAGGCCGGAUCCUGGGCCAUGUCCCCAAUGCCCUGUGCUCCGGCGCCUGCACUGUUGGAAUCAUGCUCCCGGCAGCAGGCCCCU